GGGUAGCGCAGUGGCUAGGGUGUUGGACUCCCAGCCGAAAGGUACUGGGUUCGAUCCCCGAUGUCACACAGCCUA